rnacentral:tRNA from 1 species
GCGCCUGUAGCUCAGUUGGAUAGAGCAGCGGCCUUCUAAGCCGACGGUCGGGGGUUCGAAUCCUCCCAGGCGCG